rnacentral:rRNA from 1 species
GACGAACGCUGGCGGCGUGCCUAAUACAUGCAAGUAGAACGCUGAAGAGAGGAGCUUGCUCUUCUUGGAUGAGUUGCGAACGGGUGAGUAACGCGUAGGUAACCUGCCUUGUAGCGGGGGAUAACUAUUGGAAACGAUAGCUAAUACCGCAUAACAAUGGAUGACACAUGUCAUUUAUUUGAAAGGGGCAAUUGCUCCACUACAAGAUGGACCUGCGUUGUAUUAGCUAGUAGGUGAGGUAAUGGCUCACCUAGGCGACGAUACAUAGCCGACCUGAGAGGGGGUUGGCCAACAUGGGAACGGGACCACGGCCAAGACUCCUACGGGGGGCGGAGGAGGGGAAUCUGCGGAAAGGGGGGCAACCUGGACGGGGCAAGGCGGGGGGGGGAAGGAGGUUUUCGGGUUGGAAAGGCCUGUUGUAAGGUAAGAAAGGGUGUGAGGGUGGAAAGGUCCCCCUGGGACGGUAGCUUAACAAAAAGGGAACGCUAACUAAGUG